CAAAGCCAACACCUGACUGCCCUCACCAGUACGGAUACUUCCCCUCCCCUAGCGCUCACCCAUCUGACUGCGGCCAGUACCGCAUGUGCAUAGCAGGUGUGGCCGUGGAUAUGGUAUGCCCCACUGGGCUUGCUUUCAACUUCGAGACCAGCCGUUGUGACUGGGCCUUCCUUGUGAAGUCUUGUGACGUUGCAACAUUCCUUGGAUACCAAUGCCCUCCGCCCAGUUUUGACGAGAGUGGUAAUCCCGUUGUAACUAACCACAAGUACGAUGGUAACUGCUUUGCUUUCUACUCUUGCCAAGAGGGUCGUGGCCGCCUACUCGCUUGCGACCCAGGUCUGGCCUUCGACCCUAUCACAAGCCACUGCGUGGAUGCUGACAGAGUGCCUUGUGAA